AUGUCAUAUGGUGCCAGUGACAGCUUUCUCUUCUCCUGGAAAAUUUCAUUCCAAUUUUCUCGAGAAAAGACGCAGGUUUUCUACAUACAUCAAAAGGAAACUUCUUUGGCUGCUGUUGAUGGACUGUUAGUUCUGUGUGCUACGUGUUUAAGUUUGAUGAUGCAUCAAAAGGGCAGUUUUCUUGUUUUAUAUACUGUAUCUUAA